rnacentral:misc_RNA from 1 species
UCUCCGUUGGUGAACCAGCGGAGGGAUCAUUACCGAGUUUCCAAACUCCAAACCCUUUUUAAACUUUACCUUUUGUUGCUUCGGCGGGAUCGCCCUCGCGCUCCACGGCGCCGGUUCGCAGGCGCCCGCCGGACGCCAAAACCUCUUGUUUAUUUAUGUUUCGUCUCCCAGUGUCACAAGCAAAAUAAAUCAAAACUUUCAACAACGGAUCUCUUGGUUCUG